AAGGUGAACAAACAAACCCAACUCUUUUUUUUUCUCGACUUCGCUUCUUUCUGUCGGUGAAUCAUGCAAAAGACUUUUCAUCUUCUCUGUUCAUAUUAUUUGCUACUGUCGAUCUUGUUAUCGGAGAUCAAAUCCAUGGAGCGACUUUUGUAUCAAACGAAGAUUCAAUCCUUCAAUUCUCUGUGUUUCACCAAACUUGUUAAAAUAAUCAAGUGAUUCAAAGAUUGGACAUUAAUUGGUAGCUUCAAACAUGCAACCAGCAAUGAAAACAGAGAAUCGAGGAUCAGAGAGAAUGAGCGGAAGUCUCGAGCGUGUUCACGAUGGAUCGUCUCGUAUACAGUUCCUUAUGAUUUUUUUUUUGACGACAAAAGCUCCAUAUAUUAUUAAAGAGUUUCCGUAUGGUUGGUUUGAGCCAUCCAUGUUGGAAUUCUAGAGUUUACAUGGGAAAAGAUGAUACCACGAGCUCGAGCUCCUUUUGCAAGGUUAUCGGCUCGGACAUUACAAGAAUGAGGGAUAAAACGUAAAGAACAAAAAUUAAAAAUAGAAUGAAGGUGAUGAAAUUCUUCAAAUUCGACCAAUAAAGAUGGCCAGUCUUCUUCUUUCUCGUCAUUGAUGAUCUUGACCAAUUGUUGACAGUCUGUCUCAAAGGUCAUAUCUUGAUGAUCCAUUUGAAGUGAGGAUUUCAUAGCCCACAGCGGAGUAUGUAACUCGGCGUGUAGGGGGGAGAGACUUCGGUUACUAGAGAAUGAACCGAAGGUCGUUUCCCCAUCCUCAUUCGUUAGGACCAUGCCUCCGCCAAAGAGAGCGUCGUUUUGAUGCCAUGAGGCAUCGAUCGAGCAUCUAGGGGCAGGAGGUUGGGAGUUCGAUGAUUGCGGGUUGGCGUCUUCCUCUUGGGUCUGGACAAUUUGCGCUAAUUUCCAGUUGUCGGCUUCCGAGAGAGCUAUUUGGACUGUAUCCAGGGGGUGGUAUCUACUCCGUUAAAGAGUUUAUCGUUUCGAGCUUUCCAUAGAUACCACAGGAUCCACGGCGCAUUGUCUAAGAUUGAGGCCGGAAUACCUAACCCUUUAGCGCGCCAGAGUAGGUGGUUAAGGUUGCUGAAAAUAGACUUGCUCGGGAAGAUACUCGGAGAGUGGGGCACAUGUGCUAGAGCCCACGUCUGUACUGAGGGAGGGCAUUCAAAGAGUAGGUGGUUGAUGGUUUCCUCCUCCGCACUGCACCGUGGGCAGUUUCUUUCAGUGCUACAAUGACGAUCAGAGAGUCGGCUGCACACAGGUACAGUGUCCGUUAAAGCUUACCAGAUGAAAUGUUGGAUCUUUCUUGAGGUCUUAAUAGACCAUACUUUAGCUUUUAGGACAGUGGUACUGGGUUCGCGUACUGGUGCUGGAGUGAGAGAAGAUUCCAUAGCCAUUGCUAGAGUAUAUCCCGACUGGACCGAGUAGGCGCCUGUUUUGGUGAAAGCCCAGCAGAAGCUAUCUGGUUGGUUGGUUCGUCGGAUGCGCAAGCUUUGGACAAGGGGGAUAUCGUCGGGCGCCAACAGUUCAUGCAGCUUUGUCCGGUUCCAGUCUUGGGACGUCGCAUCGAUCAGGUCGCAUACGCGAAGGCUUGGAUCGAAGGAGGAGCCGCAUGGAGUAGCUGGCCGUGGUUUGGCGUCGGGCACCCAUGGGUCGGUCCAGACCAUCGUGUUAUUACCUGAACCUAUGGAGCGUCGCAGGCCAGCUUUCAACAGAGGUUGUGUGGCCAUUAAGCUGCGCCAUACAUAGGAUGGUGAGCUUGCUUUUUUGACGUCCACUGGAGACGUAAGCCUGUAGUAUCAUCCUUUUAGGACUCGCACUAGUAAAGAUGAAGGAUAUUGAAUUAGCCUCCAUAACUGCUUCGCAAGUAAAGCGAGAUUAAAAUUUCUGAAAUCCCGGAAUCCGAGUCCUCCCUUAUCUAGGGGAAUGCAAAUAUCCUUCCAGGCUAUCCAAUGUAACCCUUUGUUAUUUUGUUUUGUACUCCACCAGAAGCGGGAUAUUGCACUAGUUAGUUUCCGGGUUACAUCCAGUGGUAAGAGGAGGCACGACAUGACGUAAGUGGGGAGAGCUUGAGCUACCGACUUGAUAAGGAUUUCUUUUCCUCCUUUGGAUAGAAGCUUUCCGGACCAGGAGUUGAUACGGUUAAGGAGCCGAUCUUGAAUAAAGGCAAAAGCCUGUUUUUUACUUCCACAUAUUUUUUCCGGUAAGCCGAGAUAGACGCCCAUUCCUCCUUCCUUAGAGAUCCCCAGAGAUUGUUUAAGCGCUGCUUUAGUAUCUUGGGGUACCUUGCUUCCAAACAGGAUAGAAGAUUUGUUUACAUUCAACUGCUGGCCAGAGGAUAAGCCGUAGGUAUUGAUGAUUCGGAUGAGUUCUGAGCAUUGUUGUAUAUCGGCUUUACAGAAGAAGAGACUGUCGUCCACGAAGAGGAUAUGGGAGACCGGUGGGCUGUUUCUGGCGAUUUUAAAACCAGUGAUUCUUCCCUCUCUCUCUGCCCCUUGGAGUUGGGAGAUAAGAGCUUCCGUUAGGAGAAUGAAGAGAAAAGGUGAUGGUGUGAUUCUGCCUUUAGGUUCGCCAUUUAGCAAGACUUGAUAUGAAAUUGAAGAGAUACAUACUUUAAUCCAAGACACCCAUUGCGUAGAGAAGCCGAUUUUCAGUAGUAGUGCUUCUAGGAAGGACCACUCGACUCGGUCGAAGGCUUUGCUCAUAUCCGUCUUGAUUGCAACAAACUUUGAUCUACAUCCUGGAUUUGUCCUCAGAGCAUGGAAGACUUCAUGUGCGACGAGAAUGUUGUCUGUGAUCAGACGUCUGGCUACAAAGGCCGAUUGCGUUUCCGAGAUAAUUUUCGGAAGGCAUUUUUUUAAACGCUUGCUCAUGAGUUUGGAGAUGACUUUGUACGAGACGUUGCAUAGACUGAUAGGUCUAAAUUCUCCCAUUUCGAUCGGUCUCUCGGUCUUGGGGAUGAGACAAAUGUUUGUCUGGUUUAGACGGGGAUCUAGAGUUCCGUUCAAGAAAAACUCUUUCACUGUGUGGCGUACUGCUUCUGCAGUGAUGCCCCAAAACUUUUGGAAGAAGAGACUCGUCAUCCCGCCUGUCCCUGGAGCCUUAUCAGGGUUGAUAUCGAACAUGGCGCUUUGAAUCUCAUCAUCUGAUGGAAUCUUUGUUAGAGCUUCGUUCAUGGCUGGGGUUACCUUCUCAGUAAUGUACUGGAGUGAAUCGUCAAAGUCCGAGGGAUUUGACGAGGUAAAUAAAGUCUGAAAAUAUCUUGUAGCCACUUGUUCCAGAUCAUCCUCCGUGUCCGCCCAAGUACCAUUUGGCCGUCGGAGUCAUAUGACUCGAUUUCUUGCUCUUCGUUGCUUGGUAGUGGCGUGAAAGAAUUUGGUGUUACGGUCUCCUUCCCGAAGCCAGUUAGCUCUGCCUUUUUGCUUCCAAUAGAGUUCCUCGUCUCUAAAGGCAGCACACAAGUUCCAUUUCAGGGACAGAAUAGCGUCGCUCGAGAAGUUGUCAUCGAUCUGAGCUUGUUCGAGUUGAUCUGUUAUCUCUUCGAUCUUCUUGGCCGUAUUGGAGGGGUUGCCUUUCUUCCAUCUGGAGAUAUAUUUCCUGCAAAGUUCGAUCUUGUCGUGCAGGUCAUCCCGGUCAAAAGAGCUCGGGUCGUUCCAGCCACAGAUGAUGGUGUCACGGAACCCUUCUUUGCCUAUGUGCCGUUUAUCGAACUUGAAUCCACGCCGGCCAGGCUUCUUUACCGAGAGAAAACGCGAGAGGAUAGGCCGAUGAUCUGAUCCCCAUAAGCGAAGAUACUCCACAUUAGUGUGGGAAAAGCAGUGGUGCCAGUCUUCAUUACCAACUGCCCGGUCCAGUCGGCAUUGAACUUUGCCAUUUCUCCUAUUUCCAACCCAGGAGAGAGGGUUACCUAAGUAGGGAAAAUCAAUCAUUCCGCAAUUAGCAAGCAUGUUCUUGAAGGGCAGGAAAGAAGAAUCGCUGCGCUUGCGUCCUCUUUUUUUUUCUUGGUUGCUGGUUAUUUCAUUGAAAUCACCAAGCAUGAGCCAUGCUCCAGACCUGUUUAGGCUCAUUGUCGUCAAACGUUUCCAAGCAUUUUCUCGGUUAUUUAUAACCGGAUCUCCAUAGACAAAGUAAUGUAAACUUUGUUUCCUGCUAUGGUUGCUUCAAUAUCGAUCAUUCUAUCAUUGGAGAAAAGAAUAGUAACCUCAAAAGAAUCUAAAUAAAAAAGAGCAAGUCCACCGCUUCUACCCUCAGGUUCAACGGUGAACAAUUUAUUAUAACCAAAUUCAAACUGAAAAUCCUGAAGAAAAGAAUAACUGUUUUUUGUUUCUGAAAGAAAAAGAAAAGAAGGAGUAAAACAACGGUGCAAUUCCCGGAGGUGCUUCUUGGUCAGGUAAGCUCCGGCGCCCUGACAAUUCCAAGUUAUGGCACUCAUAUCUUCUUACUGGGUGGUUUCUGGGACACCACCGAACCUGAGAGAGACACAGAUUUUUUUGCUUUUAGCAAAUGGAAACACCUCAUUACGAGGGACCGUAGAAGAAGGGGGAGCAGUAGAGGAUUUACCCAGGGUGGAGCGCUUCCUGGGUGAGUCGCGACCCCGGAGCUGAUUGAGUUUCUUCGAGGCUUUAGCAGCCUUGACACUCUUUGCAUCGGAGUUCUUUGAGACUUGCUUCUUGAGGUAGCCUUUAGCAGUAUACGCAGAAGGGGCCGUAUGGAGCACGUCAUGGGUUGCAGUCGUUGCUUUCGGAGCUUGCGGUGGUACCUUCCAAGUUGGUGGCGGUAGAUCCUCCUGCAUAUCCAUAUUAAUCGCAGCCAUUGCUGGAGAUAGUUGGGAAAUGGUCAUCAUUAUCCAUCAUCUCCGCAUCCAUUUCCAAGAGUUCAGUUUCUUGAACCAUUGUAUCAACUAGAGCCAGCUCGUCCUCUGUGAGUGUGAUAUCUAGAUCCUGUUCAAAUUCCAUGUCGAGGUCUAGUUCCAGGUUUUUUGGAGCCAUAUUCAUCGGACAAUGAGAAGGAGCAGCCCAGAUGGGAGCUAGAACAUGAGUAUUAAGCUUCGGAUCAUCACUGCGAGGAUCAACAUUGCGAGGCGGAGUUUGAUGUUCGUUUGAAGGCUCACGGAUGGAGAGAGAGGAAUUUCUGGUGCGAGGCUCUCGCUCUCUUGAGGUAGGGGUGUCCGUCAAGUGAGCUUUCCCUUUGAUACAUCUUUGGCGUUCCUCCAUUGUUUCAGCCACUGGACUUUUUGGGAGUUCUCCCCUGUUGAUUUCUCCCAGCUCCAGUUGGCCUAGUUGAUCCGAAAUAGUUCUUUGAGAAUCCGCUAUAGCUAGGGAUGGGACCUCAGCAGCGGGGCCUUUGUGUUCCAGUUGAGGGGCGCGAGAGGACACUGGCGCUGGAUCAGUAUAGCGAGGGUUUUUCAGAGGUGAUCGGGGACGCCAAGAACGAGCUUCCUGGUAACGGUGACCCUGACGACUGCUGUAGGGAGCUGGUCGAUUUGUCUCUUUACGUUGCUGCGGGUACUGAGAUUCUCUAUGGGGAGCACGGGAAUUAGCGUUCUUUCCAUAAACGGAAGAUGUGCGAGAUGGGAGUUCCAGGCGUCUCCAUACAUCCUCGCUACGAGGUUGACUGCGAUUUGAGGUUUCGCGAUUGUUUUCCAGCUCUAGUUGGUUGGGAUGGAAGGCUCUGUUAUCUCGGGAUGGAGAUUUCCUUUGCCUUUUUUCCUCAUGAUGGUAAUCUUUUUUAGAGAGGUUGGAGGUGGAGAUCCGGUUACGCCCUAGAGGAGGGGGGGGGGGGAACACCCGCUUGACGGGGAACGAGGCCGCUUCAUGUGACCAGAGUGGUCAACGCUUCUCACUCGUCCUAUGGAUGGGUCUCCUUGUGCGUUAAGCUCUGCUCUCUGCUGCCCUUUUUGUUCUCGCUCCUCGGGAGUAAGCUGAGGACAAGUAGAUUCAUCAUGUGAGAUCAUGUGGCAAGUGUAGCAGUAUCUAAAGAGACCCUCAUAGGAGAAGGAGACUCGUCUUAUGUCUCCAUUCGGGAAUUCUAGACGGCGCUCAAAUUGUAUAGGCUUGUCAACAUUGACAGAUACUUGAAACCUUGCUCGUUUCGAGUCAAGGGAGAUCCAAGGGCCGAGGACCUUAGAGAUCGCAAUGAAAGUCUGAUCAUUCCAGAAAUGAACUGGGACUCCGGUGACACUGAUCCAAAAAGGGAUUGUGUUGGGGAAGGAUUCACUGGUGAAAGGUUCCCAGCGUUCAAGCGCGAAGCUCCAUUGAUUGAAGUGGCAUGGGCGCUUGUUUAGAACCGAGAGCAGGUCUGCUUCGUUAUCAAAGUCGAACUGGAAUCUCCCGUUACCUAGGUUGAUUCCCCAUACACGGCCUUCGACGUUCCAGAUCCUAGUGCGGGGGAGAAGGUGGAUCAGCGCAUCAAUACUCCAUCCUUGGAGAUGAAAGACUCGCCCUAUAAGCGUCAGGCGGUUGCGAUCAGCUACUGCGUUGAUGUCGCAGUCAGGAAUCUGGAUGAUUUCAUCCUCAGAGGCAAGCUUGCUGCGCACGGUAGACGGUCCACCUUUACGCACCAUCAUCGAUGAUUGAGUCAUCAGUAGGGGACCGGUAGAACUUAGCAGUAUGCUAGAGAAGUGACGACAGAGAGUACGAGAUGAGCGAGAUCGGGAGAGACGAUGGUGGAGGCAGGAAGAUAAGAGACAGCGUGAGAAGACUACUUGACACUAGACCAGAGAUGGGUUUCCGGUUGAUGAAGGACGACGACAGACGGGAGCAAAGAGACGACAGAAAUCUUAAGGAGUGUAACUAGUCUCCCUUGAGAUUCUGGAAAGAAGAAGAGGCAGAUCGGAACGCAGGCGACGGAGAGAGAGGGCUUAGAUGGCGGAGGCUUCUUUUGUCGUUUGCGGCUAGGGCUUUUGAGAGAGAGCAUUUUUCCGAUGAACCAACGAUUACACAGUUCCUUAUGAUUCAAAACUCUAAAUUAAGAAUCCAGGGAAUCAGAAUAGAGGAUCACAAAGUAUUAGAAUCAAAACCGAAUGAAGGUUAUAUAAAGAGAUAGAGAGAACCAUCUUAGAUUUGUGUCAAUCUUGCUCAGUCGGAUGAAGCGAAUGAAAGAGAUCGUUGUAAACUGGAAACUAAUCUACCGCUUGAAACCUGCGAGGAUGAAUGACCUGAGAGGAUGAUUGCUCUAUAAUGAUCUGAGAGGAUGAUGAAUCAGCAAGGAUGAAUGAAAUAGCUUGUUCAAGAUGGGUCAUCUCAAUAUAUAUACUACCGUUCGUAAUGAAAGUCAUACCUCCAAAUUUAGAAUCGAGGAAGUAAAGGGUAUGAAGUAUUAGCAGCAGAAGCAAAUUAAAGUUAUAUAUAGAGAUAGAGCAAGUACCAUCUGAGUAUACUAAAAAGAGAGGGUUACAACAGAGAGAUUCUGAGUAGAGUAGGAAAGAGAUGUAUCAAAGGCGAUAUAUAAAAAGCAUAUGCAGAUUUAAUCUCUUGACAGAGAUCAACAGAGCAGAGGAUGACUCUUUCCAUUAGGCAGAUUUAAUCUCCUGCCCAGUUAUUUUAAAGGUGUCAACGACCUUCCAUUCACCAAUAGAACGCAUUCAAGAGUAUUUCCUCCAUAACUGGUGUUUUGUUUCCAGGAAUGAAGCAAUUUGAGAGUCAGACCCCAUUCAUCUCCGUAAGGCUUGAGAUCUUUGAUAAGACACAUUUUUCUUUGGGUUGACAUGUUUUCUUUGAGAGAUGUAUGAAUAGUCUCCCAUCGUAGUAUCAUUAUAUAUGAAUGGUUGAAGAAAUCUAGGUGAAGCUGACUUUAUGGCAAGGGUAGAUAUCGUAACAAUAUUUUCUCCUUUCUGUUUUUAACAGAAAUGUAUAUAUCGUCAAAUAUGUGAUUCAAUCUUAGAUAGUAACACCUUUGCGUUAAACAUGGAAUAUAAUUAGGGAAGUUUUAUUUAA